GAGUUUGAUCCUGGCUCAGGAUGAACGCUGGCGGUAUGCUUAAUACAUGCAAGUCGUACGAGAGUUUUUAACUCUAGUGGCGGACGGGUGAGUAACACGUGAGAAUCUGCCCUUAGGAGGAGGAUAACAGCUGGAAACGGUUGCUAAUACUCCAUAUGCCGAGAGGUGAAAGGAUGUAUCUGCCUAAGGAGGAGCUCGCGUCUGAUUAGCUAGUUGGUAGGGUAAAGGCCUACCAAGGCGACGAUCAGUAGCUGGUUUGAGAGGAUGAUCAGCCACACUGGGACUGAGACACGGCCCAGACUCCUACGGGAGGCAGCAGUAGGGAAUUUUCCGCAAUGGGCGAAAGCCUGACGGAGCAAUACCGCGUGAGGGAUGACGGCCUGUGGGUUGUAAACCUCUUUUCUCAAGGAAGAAGUUCUGACGGUACUUGAGGAAUAAGCAUCGGCUAACUCUGUGCCAGCAGCCGCGGUAAUACAGAGGAUGCAAGCGUUAUCCGGAAUCACUGGGCAUAAAGCGUCUGUAGGUGG
rnacentral:rRNA from 1 species